rnacentral:rRNA from 1 species
AUUGAACGCUGGCGGCAGGCUUAACACAUGCAAGUCGAGCGAGCGGCGGACGGGUGAGUAAUGUCUGGGAACCUCCCUGAUGGAGGGGGUUAACUACUGGAAACGGUAGCAAAUCCCGCAUACCAUCAGAUGUGCCCCGAGGGGAUUAGCUAGUAGGUGGGGUAAUGGUUGGCCUAGGCGACGAUCCCUAGUUGGUCUGAGAGGAUGACGAGGCAGACUGGAACUGUGACACGGUCCAGACUCAUCCGGGAGGCAGGAGGGGGGGAUAUGGCAGAAUGGGAGCAAGGCGGAUGAGGCCAUGGCGCGGGUGUGAAGAAGGCCUUGGGGUUGUAAAGCAUGUUAAGCGAGGAGGGGUUAGUCGCAGAAGAAGCACCGGCUAACUCCGUGCCAGCAGCCGCGGUAAUUC